rnacentral:lncRNA from 1 species
AAGCUUCUGGAAUGUCGGGGAAGAAAUGCGGAUUUGGGUCGCUUGGUGAAGAAUUUAUAGUAGGCGGAGCAUUUCACCCAGACAAGGUGGUUGCCGGUGUCGAAUACUAAGAGGAGGAGUUGCAGUGGGGAUUCGAUGCGGAGGUCUGCAAAGUACUGCCCGAAGAUGCAGCGACGAGGAUCUUGGAGACGUUAAGGAGUGUUGUUGGAGGGACUAACGGUUGCUUGAGGUACUCGGUUGACGAAUGUGUAAGGGUGAGAAUGGUGAAAAAGAAGACCAAAAAGAGGAAAGGGUGGAGCGAAGAAUAUUGAGUGCGAGAGAGAGAGAGAAGAGAAAGAGAGAAGAUAGAUAUAAUGGUGAGUGUAGAAAAUAUCAAGCCAUACUGACUCGGUUAUUUGCUUAACCGAUGUCUAAAGUUUUGGACAAAAUUUUCAAAUGAAAAAUUUAAUGUGUAAAGGGGACACGUGGGAUUUUGCAGGCUUUUAUGCUUCGGUUUUGAAGCAACCGAGGUAAUAAACAUCUUUUUGCCUUGGUUCUCCUUGAACCGAGGCCUAUAAGAUCGUUAAUAUUAUAAAAAUGCCACCAUGUUUUUUUAUGCUUCGGUUUUUUGAAAAUCGAAGUGUAUUAUCCGCGUUAGAAUCUUGAUUUUGUACUAGUGGGUUGUCGAUGGUUGAUUGACUGAUCUCAGUCUAUGCGGUAUUUGAUGGCUAAGAGAAGCACAAAAAGAUAAAAUACUUUUGAAUGAUCUGUUUGCACGAUGCAUAAAAUUACUGCAACUUCG